rnacentral:rRNA from 1 species
ACGCGUGAGAAUCUGCCUUAGGGUCGGGGACAACCGUUGGAAACGACGGCUAAUACCGCAUAUGGCGAGAGCUAAAAGCUUAAUGUGCCUGAGGAUGAACUCGCGUCUGAUUAGCUAGUUGGUGAAGUAAAGGUUUACCAAGGCGACGAUCAGUAGCUGGUCUGAGAGGAUGAUCAGCCACACUGGGACUGAGACACGGCCCAGACUCCUACGGGAGGCAGCAGUGGGGAAUUUUCCGCAAUGGGCGAAAGCCUGACGGAGCAAUACCGCGUGAGGGAGGAAGGCUCUUGGGUUGUAAACCUCUUUUGAUUGGGAAGAAGAACUGACGGUACCUGAGGAAUCAGCAUCGGCUAACUCCGUGCCAGCAGCCGCGGUAAUACGGAGGAUGCAAGCGUUAUCCGGAAUUAUUGGGCGUAAAGCGUCCGUAGGUGGCUGGUCAAGUCUGCUGUUAAAGAGCGGGGCUUAACUCUGGGCAGGCGGUGGAAACUGAUCAACUAGAGUGUGGUAGGGGUAGAGGGAAUUCCCAGUGUAGCGGUGAAAUGCGUAGAUAUUGGGAAGAACACCGGUGGCGAAGGCGCUCUACUGGACCAGAACUGACACUGAGGGACGAAAGCUAGGGGAGCGAAUGGAAUUAGAUACCCC